UUGGGCUCAGGAAACUGGCUGUUCUUAUGUAUUGAUGUGGAGAAAGCCUAAUAGAUUGAAUCCUAAAUGUGAUUUACGCGCAUAAUGGAUUUCAGGGUUCGUCUCUCUACGGUUCCGACUUCUGAUCUUCAUCUGUAUCAUUGAAACGGUUCCAGUUAUCUCUUCUUCGUGUUUAACCCCUUAUUAAUUCGAACAAUCCCGAUCUAGCUAUGAAUGCGAUCUUUCUUCGGCGAGUCGGUCUAUCUAAGAUUAUAAAAAGAGCUUUUGUUUAUGGGAGAUGAUAGUGGGAGUGGAAAUCACUAUUUUUGUAAAGUUCAGGUAAGGUAGAUCUCUGAAUUAUUUGUCGUUUUUCCAAAUCUAAGACACAAAAAGACAUUAGAUAUCUGUGUAAGGUACUGCACCCUCCUAUAACCCUCGAUGACAAACUCAGAAGAAUCUUGGGAGAAAGUAUUCACGGGUUAGUGAUAACAACCGCUCCAUCGAUGAGACAGGUUGCUUCGGCUCUUUCACAUGCUGGUUUGGAGUCCUCGAAUCUGAUUGUUGGUAUUGAUGUCACCAAGAGCAACGAUUGGACAGCAAGCUAUUUCUAUCAUUGGAAAGAAGAUUUCAUCGGUUUUUGAUCGGGAUAACUUGAUCUACGUUAUGGAUUCAGAGAUGAUUUCAGAUUGGUUUCUUUGGUUAUUACGUCUGUCUCGAAUGAUAAUCAUUGCAUCAAUAGUCCUGGUGGUUAUGUGUUUUUGCUUUGAACAUUACAGUUAAAGACUUUUUGAUGGUUUACAACAGGAUUCAUAGCAAUGUAUGCUACAUAAGCUAGCAGAGAUGUCGAUUGCUGCCUUACCCCUUAGUCAGCCUUUUAUCUCUAAGGGAAGGUGGACUCUUGGAGUUCUUUGAGGGAAACAGAUCAAGAAGCAGGGCAACAAUUGAUGUGCAAAAGCAUGGAAUUUAACAAUGAUGCCUCUGAUAAAAAGGUUAUUAUAGAUCUCGGCUUCUGGCUACCACAAAGCAUCAAGGAUCAUUUAAAUAAGAUUAACAUAGUGACGAAUCUCAAUACAUAGAUUCUACAUACAUGAUUCGGGGUGUUCAAGCAAUGCAUCAGACAGUUUUUAUUGUACACUUCUUGCUCAGAGCGUUGUUCAUGGUGAAAUGUCCAGUGGUCUUAUUAAUGGAAGACCAACAUACAUUCCUUACAACAGGAUAACAGAGAAACAGAACAGUGUGGCGAUUACAGAUAGAAUGUGGACAAGGCUAAUGUCUUCAACGAAUCAGUCCAGUUUCUUAGACCCUAAGGAUAUAACCGAGGAGAAGAAUGAGGUGCCGGAAAAGCCACACAUCUUGACGGUGAAAACAGUGACGGACUUUUCGAUAUUCUUCCAGCUACUAAAGAGAUCACUAAGUAAUGGUACAAAAACAUUGUUUAUAGACCUUCCAAACCAAAACAUAUAUUGUAUGCUUUUUCCUUGAACGAUAAGUUUUGGCAAAAAUGAAAUAAUUGUAUGUUCUAGAGAUUUCGCAUAUUUGUUGGCAUAUAUGCAAUGUUUUAUUAGCUUGUUGUACAUGUUUAGUUUUGUAACCACUAACCCUUUGAAUC